CUGAGAGUGCAGGAUCAGGUCCCUGGAAUAAUGGAUUUGGGGUGUGCUGGACAGUCUGCUGGGCUGGGAAGCUGAAUUCCAGGUCAAUCUCUGCCAUGGACUUGCCGUAUAAUCCUGACCUUACAUUUAUGGACUAAGAAUCCAACUGUUGGAUGGUUCCCCAUAUGAAAACCAGAAUUACUGCAGCUGAAGAGGUACAGGAAGACUGAGGGCAGAAGAAGAAAGAAAGGCCAGAGAUGACAGGAGAGAGCUUCGGCUGAAAGGUGGACAGGACCAGCAAGAAUCCCCUGUGGUGUGGAGCGCCUGUGAACUUGCACUGAACAAACCACCAAGAAAUAUGAUGAUGGCAGAGAGGCUUCUUAUAGCAGAUGGAAGCAGCACAUUCGAUUAGGUAAAUGACGAUGUGUUACCAAGUCAUCAUUAAAAUCAAAUUUUAGGGG